rnacentral:rRNA from 1 species
CGGAGGAAAAGAAACCAACAGGGAUUGCUCUAGUAACGGCGAGUGAAGCAGCAAUAGCUCAAAUUUGAAAUCUGGCGUCUUCGACGUCCGAGUUGUAAUUUGUAGAGGAUGCUUCUGAGUAACCACCGACCUAAGUUCCUUGGAACAGGACGUCAUAGAGGGUGAGAAUCCCGUAUGCGGUCGGAAAGGUGCUCUAUACGUAGCUCCUUCGACGAGUCGAGUUGUUUGGGAAUGCAGCUCUAAAUGGGAGGUAAAUUUCUUCUAAAGCUAAAUAUUGGCCAGAGACCGAUAGCGCACAAGUAGAGUGAUCGAAAGAUGAAAAGCACUUUGGAAAGAGAGUUAAAAAGCACGUGAAAUUGUUAAAAGGGAAGGGAUUGCAACCAGACUUGCUCGCGGUGUUCCGCCGGUCUUCUGACCGGUCUACUCGCCGCGUUGCAGGCCAGCAUCGUCUGGUGCCGCUGGAUAAGACUUGAGGAAUGUAGCUCCCUCGGGAGUGUUAUAGCCUCUUGUGAUGCAGCGAGCGCC